GACGAAGGGGGCUAGCGUUGUUCGGAAUUACUGGGCGUAAAGCGCGUGUAGGCGGUUGUCCAAGUUGGAUGUGAAAGCCUUGAGCUCAACUCAAGAAAUGCAUUCAGGACUGGAUGACUAGAGGACCGGAGAGGAUAGUGGAAUUCCCAGUGUAGUGGUGAAAUACGUAGAGAUUGGGAAGAACACCAGUGGCGAAGGCGGCUAUCUGGAAGGUUUCUGACGCUAAGACGCGAAAGCGUGGGGAGCAAACAGG
rnacentral:rRNA from 1 species